rnacentral:rRNA from 1 species
UGAGUAGGGCGGGACACGUGGUAUCCUGUCUGAAUAUGGGGGGACCAUCCUCCAAGGCUAAAUACUCCUGACUGACCGAUAGUGAACCAGUACCGUGAGGGAAAGGCGAAAAGAACCCCGGCGAGGGGAGUGAAAAAGAACCUGAAACCGUGUACGUACAAGCAGUGGGAGCCUCUUAAUGGGGUGACUGCGUACCUUUUGUAUAAUGGGUCAGCGACUUAUAUUCUGUAGCAAGGUUAACCGAAUAGGGGAGCCGAAGGGAAACCGAGUCUUAACUGGGCGUUAAGUUGCAGGGUAUAGACCCGAAACCCGGUGAUCUAGCCAUGGGCAGGUUGAAGGUUGGGUAACACUAACUGGAGGACCGAACCGACUAAUGUUGAAAAAUUAGCGGAUGACUUGUGGCUGGGGGUGAAAGGCCAAUCAAACCGGGAGAUAGCUGGUUCUCCCCGAAAGCUAUUUAGGUAGCGCCUCGUGAAUUCAUCUCCGGGGGUAGAGCACUGUUUCGGCAAGGGGGUCAUCCCGACUUACCAACCCGAUGCAAACUGCGAAUACCGGAGAAUGUUAUCACGGGAGACACACGGCGGGUGCUAACGUCCGUCGUGAAGAGGGAAACAACCCAGACCGCCAGCUAAGGUCCCAAAGUCAUGGUUAAGUGGGAAACGAUGUGGGAAGGCCCAGACAGCCAGGAUGUUGGCUUAGAAGCAGCCAUCAUUUAAAGAAAGCGUAAUAGCUCACUGGUCGAGUCGGCCUGCGCGGAAGAUGUAACGGGGCUAAACCAUGCACCGAAGCUGCGGCAGCGACACUAUGUGUUGUUGGGUAGGGGAGC